AGAGUUUGAUCAUGGCUCAGAACGAACGCUGGCGGCAGGCCUCAAACAUGCAAGUCUAGGGGGUAGCAAUACCACCAGCGGACGGGUGCGUAACACGUGGGAAUAUACCUUUUGGUUCGGAACAACGCAGGGAAACUUGCGCUAAUACCGAAUGUGCCCUUACGGGGAAAGAUUUAUCGCCAAAGGAUUAGCCCGCGUCCGAUUAGCUAGUUGGUGAGGUAAUGGCUCACCAAGGCUCCGAUCGGUAGCUGUUCUGAGAGGAAGAUCAGCCACACUGGGACUGAGACACGGCCCAGACUCCUACGGGAGGCAGCAGUUGGGAAUCUUGGACGAUGGGGGAAACCCUGAUCCAGCCAUGCCGCGUGAGUGAUGAAGGCCUUCGGGUUGUAAAACUCUUUCGACGGGGACGAUAAUGACGGUACCCGUAGAAGAAGCUCCGGCUAACUUCGUGCCAGCAGCCGCGGUAAUACGAAGGGGGCUAGCGUUGUUCGGAAUUACUGGGCGUAAAGCGCGCGCAGGUGGUCUUUCAAGUCAGUGGUGAAAGCCCGGAGCUCAACUCCGGAAAUGCCAUUGAAACUGUGAGACUUGAGGACGAGAGAGGUGAGUGGAAUUCCCAGUGUAGAGGUGAAAUUCGUAGAUAUUGGGAAGAACACCGGUGGCGAAGGCGGCUCACUGGCUCGUAUCUGACGCUCAGGCGCGACAGCGUGGGGAUCAAACAGGAUUAGAUACCCUAGUAGUCC
rnacentral:rRNA from 1 species